UCUGGAACUCACUAUGUAGGCCAGCCUGGCCACCCACAACUCACAGAGAUCUGCUUGUCUCUGCCUCCCAACUGGAAUUAAAGACCUGCACCACCAUGCCUGGCACUCUGGGGGUUCUCUUGGCAAGUCUACCAGGAUGCCAAAGCGCUGUGUGUGCAGGGCCCUGCAAUAGGCCCAACUACCUGCAGCCAGGGCCCAACGACAGACAUCCUCCUUUGGCAGCAGUAGCAGCCUGUCUUCUUCCAGCCUGCUCAAGAGGCCUGCCACACCCAGCAGGGUACCCCCCCACAUCCCGUAAGUGUUAGCUGUGAAAACAGCCACAAUAAGGAUGGUCACUGCAACCACCAGCAGUACUGCCUGCCCAGCGACAGAGCACCCUUCAGGGCCCAGGUGAUCACCAGCCACUGCCAGCACCAUGCCUCCUCCCAGAAGCAGGUUGGCAGAAGAGCGGUCCCCAUUCACCCAGUGAAAAUCGAAGGCCAGAAGAGGCAGACCGAUGACUGUGGCAACCCAAGCUCCAGCGAGACAGUCUUCAUGUGUGCUCGGCCCUGGGGCCAACAUAAUGAUGGCAGCAAAGGUCUGGAGCAGGAAGCCGGCAGCUGCUCCUCGACUGGACUGUUGACACCGGGAAAGAGAGACACGUUAAGGGAAAAGAAGCCAUUUAAAAGCAGCCACUUUUAAGUAGGAAAGAGUUUGGGACUGUUAAGGAGUCCCAGCCUCCCAUGGGAGGAGCAUCAUCCUCUUUCUAGUGGAGGGAUCUACAUAGUUUGUGAAAGUAAGAAUAUUCACCUGUA
rnacentral:lncRNA from 1 species